GGUGGCUCAGUGGUAGAGCGCUUGCCUUGCAUGCAUGAGGCCCUGGAUCGAUAACCCAGCACCA
rnacentral:tRNA from 1 species